AGGAUCAUUAUUGAAAUAGUAUGACAGAGUUGUCGCUGGCCACUGUGCUGUGCACGCUCCGUCGUUCUUCAUUUCUCCAUCAUCUCUGUGCACUGCCUUUGUGUAGAUAUCUCUCUGUCCAUUUCAAGGACGGAAUUGGGGACUGCUUUGCGAAAAACAGUAGGGCUUUCCUUGGAUCUACAUUCUCUUCACAUACUCCAGUUGUAAUAUGGAAUGAAUGGAAAAAAUGAAAAUGAAAAAACAACUUUCAGCAACGGAUCUCUUGGCUCUCGCAUCGAUGAAGAACGCAGCGAAAUGCGAUAAGUAAUGUGAAUUGCAGAAUUCAGUGAAUCAUCGAAUCUUUGAACGCAUCUUGCGCUCCUUGGUAUUCUGAGGAGCAUGCCUGUUUGAGUGUCAUUAAUGUCUCAACCACACCUGUGAGGGUGUUGGCUUGGAUCUGGGGGCUUACAGGCUCUGAAUUCAUGUAGCCUGCUCCCCUGAAAUACAUGAGUGGCAAAUGACCUCCCUCUCCAUUAGAUGUGAUACAUAUCUGCAUCUAAAUCCGAGGGGUUUGCUGCAGUUGGGUUGGGUUGGAUUUUGAUAAACUUGACCUCAAAUCAGGUAGGACUACCCGCUGAACUUAAGCAUAUCAAUAAGCGGAGGAAAAGAAACUAACAAGGAUUCCCUUAGUAACUGCGAGUGAAGUGGGAAGAGCUCAAAUUUGUAAUCUGGCAGUCCUUUGAUUGUCCGAGUUGUAAUCUAGAGAAGUGCUACCUGCCCUGGACCAUGUACAAGUCUCCUGGAAUGGAGCGUCGCAGAGGGUGAGAAUCCCGUCUUUGACAUGGACUGCCAGAGCUUGAUAGGUGUGCUCUCGAAGAGUCGAGUUGUUUGGGAAUGCAGCUCAAAAUGGGUGGUAAAUGCCAUCUAAAGCUAAAUAUUGGCGAGAGACCGAUAGCGAACAAGUACCGUGAGGGAAAGAUGAAAAGAACUUUGGAAAGAGAGUUAAACAGUACGUGAAAUUGCUGAAAGGGAAACGCUUGAAGUCAGUCGCAUCGGCUAGAAAUCAACCUUGCUCUUGCCUGGUGUACUUUCUGGUUGAUGGGUCAGCAUCAAUUCUGACCGCUGGAUAAAGUCUUUGGGAAUGUGGCAUCUCAGGAUGUGUUAUAGCCCAUGGUUGGAUGCAGUGGUUGGGAUUGAGGAACUCAGCACGCUCGCGAGGGCCGGGUUCGACC
rnacentral:rRNA from 1 species